rnacentral:rRNA from 1 species
CCCUUAGAUGUCCUGGGCCGCACGCGCGCUACACUGAUGCAUUCAACGAGUUUUACCUUGGCCGAGAGGCCUGGGCAAUCUUUUAAACCUGCAUCGUGAUAGGGAUAGAUUAUUGCAAUUAUUAAUCUUGAACGAGGAAUUCCUAGUAAACGCAGAUCAUCAAUCUGCAUUGAUUACGUCCCUGCCCUUUGUACACACCGCCCGUCGCACCUACCGAUUGAACGGUCCGGUGAAGCCUCGGGAUUGUGGCCAGUUCACUUUAUUGGGAGUUGGCUGCGAGAACUUGUCUAAACCUUAUCAUUUAGAGGAAGGUGAAGUCGUAACA